rnacentral:rRNA from 1 species
GACGAACGCUGGCGGCGUGCCUAAUACAUGCAAGUUGAGCGCUGAAGGUUGGUACUUGUACCAACUGGAUGAGCAGCGAACGGGUGAGUAACGCGUGGGGAAUCUGCCUUUGAGCGGGGGACAACAUUUGGAAACGAAUGCUAAUACCGCAUAAAAACUUUAAACACAAGAUUUAAGUGUGAAAGAUGCAAUUGCAUCACUCAAAGAUGAUCCCGCGUUGUAUUAGCUAGUUGGUGAGGUAAAGGCCCAACAAGGCGAUGAUACAUAGCCGACCUGAGAGGGUGAUCGGCCACAUUGGGACUGGGACCCGGCCCAAGCUCCUACGGGAGGCAGCCGUAGGGGAUCUUCGGACAUGGACGAAAGUCUGACCGCGCAACGCCGCGUGAGUGAAGAAGGUUUUCGGAUCGUAAAACUCUGUUGGUAGAGAAGAACGUUGGUGAGAGUGGAAAGCUCAUCAAGUGACGGUAACUACCCAGAAAGGGACGGCUAACUACGUG